GUGGGGAAUAUUGGGCAAUGGGCGAAAGCCUGACCCAGCAACGCCGCGUGAGGGAAGAAGGUUUUCGGAUCGUAAACCUCUGUUGUGGGGGACGAGGAGAUGACGGUACCCCACGAGGAAGCUCCGGCUAACUACGUGCCAGCAGCCGCGGUAAUACGUAGGGAGCGAGCGUUGUCCGGAAUGACUGGGCGUAAAGGGCGCGUAGGCGGCCUGGCAAGUUUGGAGUGAAAGCCCCAUUUUCAAGGUGGGGACUGCUUUGAAGACUGCGAGGCUUGAGUGAGGGAGAGGAUAGCGGAAUUCCCGGUGUAGCGGUGAAAUGCGUAGAGAUCGGGAGGAACACCAGUGGCGAAGGCGGCUAUCUGGACCUAGACUGACGCUGAGGCGCGAAAGCGUGGGGAGCAAACAGGA
rnacentral:rRNA from 1 species